CGAACGCUGGCGGCAGGCCUAACACAUGCAAGUCGAACGCCCUCUUCGGAGGGAGUGGCAGACGGGUGAGUAACGCGUGGGAACCUACCUAGUGGUACGGAAUAACUCGGGGAAACCCGUGCUAAUACCGUAUGUGCCCGAAAGGGGAAAGAUUUAUCGCCAUUAGAUGGGCCCGCGUCGGAUUAGCUUGUUGGUGAGGUAAUGGCUCACCAAGGCGACGAUCCGUAGCUGGUCUGAGAGGAUGAUCAGCCACACUGGGACUGAGACACGGCCCAGACUCCUACGGGAGGCAGCAGUGGGGAAUAUUGGACAAUGGGCGCAAGCCUGAUCCAGCCAUGCCGCGUGAGUGACGAAGGCCUUAGGGUUGUAAAGCUCUUUUGGCGGGGACGAUAAUGACGGUACCCGCAGAAUAAGCCCCGGCUAACUUC
rnacentral:rRNA from 1 species